rnacentral:rRNA from 1 species
UACGAGUGCCCCAAGCGCUAUCCGGAAUUAUUGGGCGUAAAGGGUGUGUAGGUGGUCUUGUUAGUCUUCUGUGAAAUUCUUCGGCUUAACCGGGGGUCCGCAGGGGAAACGGCAGGACUAGAGGAUGCGAGAGGUGUGCGGAACUCAUGGUGUAGGGGUGAAAUCCGUUGAUAUCAUGGGGAACACCGAAAGCGAAGGCAGCACACUGGCGCGCUCCUGACACUGAAACACGAAAGCGUGGGUAGCGAAUGGG